UUUUUUUUUUUUUUUUCCUCUCAAAUUUUAUUUGUUUGUUUGGUUUGGUUUUUUUGAGACAGGGUUUCUCUGUGUAGUCCUGCUGUCCUGGUAGAUCAGGCUGGCCUUGAACUCAGAGAUCCACUAGCCUCUGCCUCCCUAGUGCUGGGCUAAAGGUAUGUGCUUCCAUACCCAGCAUUUUCACCUUUUUGUUGUUGUUAAGAUUUAAAAAUUUUAAUUUUAUUUAUGUGUGUGUGUUUGCCUGUCUGUUUGUAGGUAUGUGCACAUGUGUAUUGUAUGUAUGUCUAUAGAGACCAGAGAUGCCAGGUCCUUCUGGAACUAGAAUAAUAGGUCUGACAUAAGUGCUAGCAACCAAAUUUCAGUCCUCUGGAAGAGCAAUACAUACUAUCUUUCCAGCCCCAAGGACACUUUUUUAGAGAUUUAUUUUUAUUAUUUCUGUGUAUGUGUCUGUGUGAAUGUAUGUCCAUAUGUGUGUGCAGGUGUCCAUGGGGACCAAAGAGGACACUAGCUAUAGAGUGGUCCUUUACAACUGGGAUUACAGGCAGUUGAGAGCCACCCAACAUGGAUGCUGGGAACUUAACUCUAGUCCUCUGCAGAGCAGUGAGGGGACUUAACUGCUGAAUAAUCUCUUCAGCUCCAAUAUAAUUUUACUUUAAAAAAUUGAAUUAACAAUUAAUGGAUUUUCUACAGAUAACUGAGCAAGUCUCUUUACCAUCUACAUACACAUACUUUUUAAAAAAGUUUUCUUAAACGUAUCCUGCUUUAAUACAUUUUAAAGCAAGUCUAGGCUGGGAGUGGUAGUCACACCUUUACACCUUUAGGUACAGCACUUUGGAAGCAGAGACAGGAAGAUAUCCCUGUGAGUAUAGGAUCUCUGUGAGUGUGAGGUUAGCCUGGUCUGCAAAGCCAGUUCUAGGCUAUCCAGAGCUAUCUAGUACGGUCCUGUCUUUAAAAGAAAAAAGGAGGGCUGGAAAGAUGGCUCAGCAGUUAAGAGCACUGACUGCUCUUUCCAGAGGUCCUGAGUUCAAUUCCCAGCAACCACAUGGUGGCUCACAACCAUCUGUAAUGGGGUCUGAUGCCCUCUUCUGGUGUGUCUGAAAACAGCUACAUACUCAUCAUAUAUAUAAAAUAAAUAAAUAAAAUCUUUAAAAAUAAAUAAAUAAGUAAGUAAAAGAAAAAAGGGAAAAGAAAAGAAAGAAGAAAGAGCUGGAUGGUGGAGGCAGAGGCAGGUGGAUCUCUGAGUUCAAGGCCAGCUUGGUCUAUUAAGCAAGUUACGGGACUACUCAGAGAAGCCCUGUCUUUAAAAACAAAUAAAUAAAAAACAAUGAAUGAAUGAAUGAAUGAAUGAAUGAAUGAAAAGG
rnacentral:lncRNA from 1 species